rnacentral:rRNA from 1 species
AACGAACGCUGGCGGCAUGCCUAACACAUGCAAGUCGAACGAGACCUUCGGGUCUAGUGGCGCACGGGUGCGUAACGCGUGGGAACCUGCCCUUAGGUUCGGAAUAACUCCCCGAAAGGGGUGCUAAUACCGGAUAAUGUCUUCGGACCAAAGAUUUAUCGCCUUUGGAUGGGCCCGCGUUGGAUUAGCUAGUUGGUAGGGUAAAAGCCUACCAAGGCGACGAUCCAUAGCUGGUCUGAGAGGAUGAUCAGCCACACUGGAACUGAGACACGGCCCAGACUCCUGAGAGAGGAAGAAGGAGGGAAUAUUCCGCAAUGGGCGAAAGCGGGACGGAGCAAAGCGGCGUGAGUGAUGAAGGCCUUCGGAGCGGAAAAGUCUGUUAUUGGGGAAGAAAAAAUGUGUAAGGAACGAUGCACGGCGUGAGGGUACCUAAUCAGAAAGCCACGGCUAACUACGUG